rnacentral:rRNA from 1 species
UACGUAGGGGGCGAGCGUUGUCCGGAGUUACUGGGCGUAAAGGGCAUGCAGGCGGUCGGACGCGUUUCGGGUGACAGCGGGUGGCUUAACUACCCGAGUGGUCGAAAGACGGUUUGACUUGAGGACGCGAGAGGGACACGGAAUUCCGGGUGGAGUGGUGAAAUGCGUCAGAGAUCCGGAGGAACACCGAAGGCGAAGGCAGUGUCCUGGCGCGUAACUGACGCUGAGGUGCGAAAGCCAGGGGAGCGAACGGG